rnacentral:rRNA from 1 species
AUGAACGCUAGCGGCAGGCUUAACACAUGCAAGUCGAGGGGCAGCACGUCUUCGGAUGGUGGCGACCGGCGCACGGGUGCGUAACGCGUAUACAAUCUACCUUUUACAGAGAGAUACCCCAGAGAAAUUUGGAAUAAUACCUCAUAAUAUUAUUGCUCGGCAUCGAGUGACAAUUAAAGUUUCGGCGGUAAAAGAUGAGUAUGCGUCCUAUUAGCUAGUUGGUAAGGUAACGGCUUACCAAGGCGACGAUAGGUAGGGGUCCUGAGAGGGAGAUCCCCCACACUGGUACUGAGACACGGACCAGACUCCUACGGGAGGCAGCAGUGAGGAAUAUUGGUCAAUGGGCGAAAGCCUGAACCAGCCAUGCCGCGUGCAGGAAGACUGCCCUAUGGGUUGUAAACUGCUUUUAUACAGGAAGAAACACUCGGACGUGUCCGAGCUUGACGGUACUGUAUGAAUAAGCACCGGCUAACUCCGU